AGAAUCAACGCUGGCGGCGUGCCUCAGACAUGCAAGUCGAACGCGAAAGUCCCCUUCGGGGGAUAAGUAGAGUGGCGCACGGGCGAGUAACACGUAGGUAAUCUACCUUCGGGUGGGGAAUAACCCAGGGAAACUUGGGCUAACACCGCAUAAUGCAGCGGCACCACAUGGUGACAGUUGUUAAAGCGGGGGAUUUUAGGACCUCGCGCCUGAAGAGGAGCCUGCGGCAGAUUAGCUAGUUGGUAAGGUAACGGCUUACCAAGGCGACGAUCU
rnacentral:rRNA from 1 species